CGCGUAUGCGACCUGCCCGUUGCAGGGGGAUAAUCGGGAGAAAUCCCGUCUAAUACCGCGUAACGCCGCGGGGCUGCAUGGCCCUGCGGCCAAAGGAAGCGAUUCCGGCAACGGAUGGGCAUGCGUGACAUUAGCUAGUUGGCGGGGCAACGGCCCACCAAGGCGACGAUGUCUAGGGGUUCUGAGAGGAAGGUCCCCCACACUGGUACUGAGACACGGACCAGACUCCUACGGGAGGCAGCAGUGAGGAAUAUUGGUCAAUGGGCGCGAGCCUGAACCAGCCAAGUCGCGUGAGGGAUGACGGCCCUACGGGUUGUAAACCUCUUUUGUCGGGGAGCAAAUUCCGCCACGUGUGGCGGAGUCGAGAGUACCCGAAGAAAAAGCAUCGGCUAACUCCGUGCCAGCAGCCGCGGUAAUACGGAGGAUGCGAGCGUUAUCCGGAUUUAUUGGGUUUAAAGGGUGCGUAUGCGGACUGUCAAGUCAGCGGUAAAAUACGGGGGCUCAACCUCCGCCCGCCGUUGAAACU
rnacentral:rRNA from 1 species